UAAACCCUUAAAACAAUGUUUUUUAGGCUUUUAACCUAAAGGAGUGGGGUGUUAAUUUUAGCCUUCAGGGUUGA
rnacentral:tRNA from 1 species